CCCGUAGUAAUUCUAUGUCGUCUUAAAUGCGUUCGAUAAGUAUGGGCAUUUAAGAUAUCAAUUAUUAGCGCUUGCGCGAAAAUUCUUAUUAUUUGUGGUUUUAUGUUGUUUAGGUUGAACGUUCAAUAAAAUGUCGGACUGGCUAUAUUUGUAUUUUUAGGUAAAUGUUAUAAAAAUGUUCUGUCGGAAUAUGGUGUGCUGGAUGUGUAAUGUGCCCGUCUUAAGUGUAUAAACAAAUCCUACAUUAAGAGAAAGUGAGCAAUAUGGUCAAAAACUAAAAAGGGAUCAAUGUGUGUUUAAAUCAUGGCAUAUAACCGAGGCUGCUUGUUAGUGUAUAAUGAUUGAGCUACAUGCAAAAUUAAAUACUAUUUGGUAUAUAGUUUUAAUUAUUUCAUCUAUAUCAACUGGUAUAAAAUCAGACGUCAGUAAAAUGUCACCUAUAAAAAACCAUUUCAUGGAAUCUAGUCAAUCUCAUUUUACUACAAAGAAUAGCACUCGUGUUAUAGCACAGAAAGGUGGUUUGGCUGUUUUACCAUGUGUCGUCAAACUAAAUUCUCCAGCAACAGUAAGUAUUGUAUUU